UUAAUUGAAGCCAAAAAGAGGCAUAUUACUGUUAAUGAUACAAUUGAAUUUUAAUUCCAAUUAAG
rnacentral:tRNA from 1 species